rnacentral:sRNA from 1 species
ACGUAAAUUACAGUAAUUUCUAAUUUGGAAACGAAAAUACAUUAAUAGACAUUAUAUUUACAUUAAACGAUUCUGUACGAUAUUAUCACCGCAAUGUAUCUACCAUCAUUCACGUUUUUAAUCGUUGAUUUACUUAAUCAAAUUAAAAGAUGUU